rnacentral:rRNA from 1 species
UACAGAGGGUGCAAACGUUGCUCGGAAUCAUUGGGCGUAAAGCGCACGUAGGCGGCCCAGCAAGUGGGGAGUGAAAGCCCUCGGCUUAACCGAGGAAGUGCUUCCAAACUACUGGGCUUGAAUACUGGAGAGGGUCGCGGAAUUCCCGGUGUAGAGGUGAAAUUCGUAGAUAUCGGGAGGAACACCAGUGGCGAAGGCGGCGCCUGGACCGGUAUUGACGCUGAGGCGCGAAAGCUAGGGGAGCAAACGGG